CCUACGGGUGGCAGCAGUGGGGAAUAUUGCACAAUGGGCGCAAGCCUGAUGCAGCCAUGCCGCGUGUAUGAAGAAGGCCUUCGGGUUGUAAGUACUUUCAGUGGGGAGGAAGGCGAUAAGGUUAAUAACCUUGCCGAUUGACGUUACCCGCAGAAGAAGCACCGGCUAACUCCGUGCCAGCAGCCGCGGUAAUACGGAGGGUGCAAGCGUUAAUCGGAAUUACUGGGCGUAAAGCGCACGCAGGCGGUCUGUCAAGUCGGAUGUGAAAUCCCCGGGCUCAACCUGGGAACUGCAUUCGAAACUGGCAGGCUAGAGUCUUGUAGAGGGGGGUAGAAUUCCAGGUGUAGCGGUGAAAUGCGUAGAGAUCUGGAGGAAUACCGGUGGCGAAGGCGGCCCCCUGGACAAAGACUGACGCUCAGGUGCGAAAGCGUGGGGAGCAAACAGGAUUAGAUACCCCCGUAGU
rnacentral:rRNA from 1 species